CGCAGGAAACUGAAGUUCAUAAUUUAGACUAUCAUUGCUAUUCAAUUUAUUAAUCAGAAAAUACAAAAGUAGAAGCCCAUAAUUAAUUACCUUCACAUAUCAACCAUGGGGAAUAGCCUGGGACCCAUCAACAUUAUUUGGUAAGAAGAUCUCCCAACCCCAUAUCCAUUCUGUAAGAAACUCUGAAAAUAAGCAAAAGAAAACUAUCAGCAUUCGGAUUCCAAUUAUUGAAAUCUCUAAUAAGCGUAGCCGACUGCAGGAUUAGAAUGGUUUGACAAACCUCUAUCAGCUUCAUUAAUUCUCAUGCUUUGACAAGCUACAGUUUAGAAGUUUCUCUAUUAAUCCAAAAAUUUUAGACUACAUUAAUUGGAAGAGGAAAAACAGGAAUGAGCAUUUUACAUUAUAGUUAAUAUAUUAGUAUUAUAUCAAUGUUGGAUGCUUCUACCCAUAACUUACAAUAUAAUUGAUCUUAACUUGGCCUGUAGUAAGAUACAUAGCAGAAGUAGCACAUAUCUGCUAGAUUCCUUUGCUAGGAGCAGAAGUAGCACAUAUCUGCUAGAUUCAUUUGCUAAGUUUUUUAUACUGCAAAAAUUGCAGAAUGAAAUGAUGAACACAUGCCAAAAAUAAUUAGCUACUAAAAUGUACAUAAAUGGAACUAAAAAAAGAUUCCUCAACCCAAAAAAAUAAAAAUAAAGAACUCUUGCUCAACACAAAAAGAUACAUAGCUCACCACAAUUUUAUUUUUAUUUUUUCUUACAAUUUCAGCACAUGAUUACAAUAAAAAAGGACAGUCACAGUUAUAACCUUAAAACCAAGAAACAAGAAACUGAAGAAGAAUUAUCUGCUCAUUUGGAGGGAGAAUACAUUUAUGGACCACUUUGUGCAGCAUAGAGCUUAUUCAUUUUGUAAGAAAUCGCCACUUAUUUUAAUGGCUAACUUCUGGCGAGUACAACACCUAGAACUAAACACAACAUGAAGGCAACACCUAGAAUUUGUCUCACUUGAAAACAGCAAAUACCAAUAGGAGCAUGCUCCACAAUGUAAAAACUAAAUCAGUUUCUUUUCAUAUCUAAAUCCAAGAAACUGAAAACUGAUACAGAAAUGGAUAAACAAGGUACCUACUUAGGUUAAGUUAGCACUAUCUAACUUCAAAUAUUCAAGUUGCCCCUAGUUUAAUUGGGCCUAAAAUAUGUACUUCACCAAUAAGCAUAAGAGAUUGGAUUAACAACAAUACAAAAGCAACAACAGCGAUAACAAAUUCAGUGAUUGAUAUAAAUUAACAUAUGGAGUAGUAAUUUACAGCAGCAAUAGCAAAGAAAAAAUAGCAACAACAAAUGAAGAGAAAGACUCAGAGAGCAGCUGAGAAAGCACGGCAGACAUUUGUGACGACACAAAUGAAGAAAAAAUCUUACUGAUAACAAUUCCAGUGGCAGAUUUUUAUUUGGUGACGACUUCAGGCUCCUCAUCCAAUAUUGCUUAAACCUACAAAUCCACAAUAGCAAUAAAAUUGAAAUAAAAUAAAAUAACACAAAUACAUGGAAUUGCUUCCAGAUAAAACCUUAAGACAAAAAAUUAAAAAAUACAAC
rnacentral:lncRNA from 1 species